GUGCUUGCUUUGGCAGCACAUAUACUAAAAUUGGAACAAUACAGAGAAGAUUAGUAUGGCCCUUGAACAAGGAUGACAUGCACAUUCGCGAAGGGUUCCAUAAUUAA
rnacentral:snRNA from 2 species